CCUACGGGCGGCAGCAGUGAGGAAUAUUGGUCAAUGGGCGAGAGCCUGAACCAGCCAAGUAGCGUGAAGGAUGACUGCCCUAUGGGUUGUAAACUUCUUUUAUAAAGGAAUAAAGUGAGGCACGUGUGCCUUUUUGUAUGUACUUUAUGAAUAAGGAUCGGCUAACUCCGUGCCAGCAGCCGCGGUAAUACGGAGGAUCCGAGCGUUAUCCGGAUUUAUUGGGUUUAAAGGGAGCGUAGGUGGACAGUUAAGUCAGUUGUGAAAGUUUGCGGCUCAACCGUAAAAUUGCAGUUGAUACUGGCUGUCUUGAGUACAGUAGAGGUGGGCGGAAUUCGUGGUGUAGCGGUGAAAUGCUUAGAUAUCACGAAGAACUCCGAUUGCGAAGGCAGCUCACUAGACUGCAACUGACACUGAUGCUCGAAAG
rnacentral:rRNA from 1 species